AACGAACGCUGGCGGCAGGCCUAACACAUGCAAGUCGAGCGGACCUGUCGUGGUCAGCGGCGGACGGGGGAGUAACGCGUGGGAAUAUGCCCUUCUCUACGGGAUUGUCCUUGGAGACUGGGGGUAAUACCGUAUACGCCCUUGGGGGUGAAGAUUUAGCUGGGCAUGAUUAGAGCGCGUUGGAUUAGGUAGUUGGUGGGGUAGUGGCCGACCAAGACGACGGUCCAUAGCUGGUUUGAGAGGAUGAUCAGCAACACUGGGACUGAGACACGGCCCAGACUCAUACGAGAGGGAGCAGUGGGGAAUCUUAGACAAUGGGGGCAACCCUGAUCUAGCCAUGCGGCGUGAGUGAUGAAGGUCUUAGGGUUGUAAAGCUCUUUCAGCUGGGAAGAUAAUGACGGUACCAGAAGAAGAAGCCCCGGCUAACUCCGUG
rnacentral:rRNA from 1 species